CCCCCACUUAGAUUCAACUAAGUCUUCACAAUACAUGAAAAUUUGAGAAUUCCCAAUCCUUCUCACGUUCCAACGAUCGAUCUGAUGACAACCAGACCUUUCCAACUAGUAGUCCUUUACUAGGCAACCCCAAAUGAUCAUACGCUUCUAAUAACUAGAUGAGCACUUCCUGAAUCCCAGUGAAACCAACAGUCCUUGUAAUGCUGAAUAACCAUCCUAUGGGACUUUGUCUGUAGACCUCCCACAUAAAAACCACAUUUCCCAAGGUGCUCCAACAAAUCUCCCGCCCUCGAGCUCUAGAAAUCAUAUCAUUCAGGGUCUCGCUCCCUGACUCGCUCACAAGCACAGUCAUCUACAACUGAACUGAAGUAGCUGAAUCAACCUUUGCCCUAGACCGGAUACAAACCUACUCCCGAGACAUAGUCUCCUAUACCAAAAGUGGAAUAGAUCGCACAAUCAAUCCUUACCGUCUGAUGUAAGAGAUCCAAGGUGAAUUAGAUCUUAGCUCCUAUGGGUUAGAAUAGUAACCGCGUACACAUCACAAGAUACUCAUGUCGCAUUGACCCACCUGCGCUCACCAGCGCUGAACUAUUGUCGCCAAUCCUGAUGACUAACUGACCCCGAGACGGAAUACAACCUGAUCCUGGGGUCACAAGUCUACUUAAUGUUUUGAGCUCGAAAACUGAAAGGGCACAGUCCUUGGCCUAGAAAACAACAUUCCAAUCCACCAAUUAACCAUCCUACUUCUAGCUGCAAAACCCCAGCUGAAUAUUAUCAUUACUCCUUUCCAGAGUCCCCGCGACUCACAUUUCGGCCUCGAGAAAAACCCCCGAGCCUCAAAUCUAGAAACUAAGGUGUUAUCCUCUGCCGCUCACCUGCGAAAAUGUAACGAGUACAAAUCGUCUUCCAGAUCCCAGAUAAUUGUAGCCCUCUACUCAUCAGAAUAUGUCCCGAUAACAAGUCUCGGUACUGAAAAGCUCGACCAGCUCCUCCCCCUGCCGUCGUUACAACUGUUGAAGUUGUUAUGGUAGCCGUCUCAAGAAUGGCUACAUAGCGCUCAUCAAGGUACUCAACCAUGGCGGUCUUGAUAGACCCAAACAUCUCCAGAAUCUGACCCCGGACAAAACUCGAUCAUCUCCUCCCGGAUGAUCUAACCGACACGAUCCACUGACAAUGCUGGCCUAUCCUGGCUGCCAGCUCCCGAUCUUAACUCGAAUCCGGUCUCAAGACGUCUCGUAACCACCAUUCUGGUAACACACCAGAAAGGUCUCUGAUAACCCAUAUAAUGACAAAGAGCCAAUUCCCAACCAAGCCCUAGGGGUUGUGACUUCCUUGCUACGCGUAUGGGUCCUGUGCUUUCAGUAAUACGGUCCCAUACUACCUUCCACACCUACCCAUAUUUGUCUCAAGUAUCACAACAACACCCUAACAAUAUACAUAAACAUAGUGAGCACUCAAUCCCCACUCCUAGAGGAAAGCUAAUUGUCUCACAACUGACCUACCGGUCCCACACAACUCACCCAUCCAUGAAACUUCCACCAACCCUGAAACACUAGUGUAUGCUAGCCAUAUAUAACGCUGGACCCCAUAGACUUUCGAAUAUCCAAUCCUACCCUAAACUCCCAAUCAAACAAGAACAGAACAUAAGGCCAAAUCAAACAUUCUCAGGCUAUAAGAUCUUAAUUAUGUAUGGCCGUGAUGCAUACAUUAAGCAACUACAAUAAUGAUUUCAAUUUCAUAUAAGGAAAAACCCUAGGCUAUUAGGCAUCAUACAAUCAGACAAUUCUAUCAUGCAAUUCCUGAAGAUCCCUAGCCUAGUACUAGCAUGCUGUUCUAACAUAUCACAUAAUCAAAUACUGUAUAGUAUUUUGGGGUCACUUACUGGCUUUGGCUGAUCGUACACCUUGCAUCAUCCUUUUAUUAUUUUGAAAACAUUUUAAGAAAAUCAUUUUAUAACCUUGUCCUAAGUUUGAGACUGGAGGCACCUGAGUGUUUCCUUCAAUUCACUCAAACCAAGGCUCUGAUACCAACUUGAAACACCCCAAAAAUUCAAGCCAAUUUAAAACUUUUUAAAACAUUUAAAACCAUUAAGUCAUUACAGUUUACUUUCAAAAUAAUUUAAACAUCAGUGUAUCCCCAGAAUCAAGCCUUCGCCUUCCCGCGAUCAUCCGAAUACCUGAAACAAUAAUGGAUAAAUGUAAGCUCGAAGGCUUAGUGAGUUACCCCCAAAAUACCAACCCAUACUAACCAAAACAAAUAUCAUAUCAAUACAAAUACAGCACAACAUGCAUAAUCAGCCUUCAGCAUGACUGGACCGCCUCCUACGGGCCUACAGCCUAUCUGGACCGCUCCUGAGCCUUCGGCAUGACUGGACCACCUCCUACGGGCCUACAGCCUAUCCGGACUGCUCGCCGGGCCUUCGGCAUGACUGGACCACCUCCUACGGGCCUACAACCUAUCUGGACCGCCUCGGAUAUGUUGGCCUCAACCGCACAAAGCAGGACACCGCCUCAACCCAACCUAUCCAUGUAUGUCGGCAUAUAAAUAACACAUAAUCAAGAAAUGAGCACAUAUCAUACUAACCACUAAGCAUAGCACCAUUCUAUCUAUCAAGGUACCAAUCCAAUAGAUCAUAACCGCAUAACAUCCUAAGUACCAGGGUACCAAUGUAACUGAUCAUGAAUAUGAAACACAUACUAACUCCGGGACAAAAUCCCAAGGGACCGACCUAGUGUCGUAGACCCUGUUGGUAUGGUUAGGAGAACUCACCUGGCAUUGCUGAAGUCCUGCAGAUAAAACUCCAACUGCUGGUUGACAACUUCUCGAACUGUCAACAUCAAACAAUACCCAACCAAUAAUUGGGUUCAAAGCCCAAGGUCCAUCUCACACACUACAAGCUCAACAGUCAAGUAAUGGGCCAAGGCUCAACAUAUGGCCCAAUCUUCCAAAUUGGGCCCAAGUCCUCACAUGGGCCUUAUACUAAAGCCCAUCUAAUUACUUUGGUCCAUUAACUUUUUCUUGUUUGGUCCAUCAAUAGUCUAACCACCAAAACCCUAUAGGAAGGCCCAACUCAAGGCCCAAGUGAAAUUAGGGUUUCACAUAAAAUGACAACUAGGGUUAAGUGUUUCUCAUUUAACCCAUUAAGGACUUAAUCCAUUAAGUCUCUCACUUUACUAAAUAAGUCCUAUGGUGUGAUUAGGCUUAAUACACAAUUCCAUUCCAAUGGCCUAAAUGUGGGUCCCGAUAAGUCCAAUCCCAUAAUCCCAAGUUAGGGUUUUCACAUGAAAUGAUGAUUAGGGUUAAGUUUUUCUUACUUAACCCAUUAAGGACUUAAUCCAUUAAGUCUGUUGUUGCCUUAUAUUAAUUUGUCAAUGACUAUUAUUUAAUAUUUCAAGUUAUUAAAUAAUUCUCGUGUGCAUGCCGAUCAAUUCCCAAAAAUUAGGGUUUUAUGCUAUUAGGGUUUUCCAGUCCCUAAUUAGGGUUUCCCAACCCAAUAUGAGCCCGUUAGUCCAUUGAUUGGGUUUUUAGAUCACAUUGGGCCUUAUUGGGCCCACUAGGGUUUUAUUAGGUCAAGUAUAGUUCUUUUGGUCCCUUUAGGGCUUCAUUAGGCCCACUAGGGUUUCAUGCAUCCCAUACGAAUCAACCACAUCAAUGCAAAUCACACCGCCACCUGACAUGACGGCCGGUGGCGGCAAGAGGCAGCGGCCACCACCCNNNNNNNNNNNNNNNNNNNNNNNNNNNNNNNNNNNNNNNNNNNNNNNNNNNNNNNNNNNNNNNNNNNNNNNNNNNNNNNNNNNNNNNNNNNNNNNNNNNNNNNNNNNNNNNNNNNNNNNNNNNNNNCGGUGGUAGAUGGCGGCAGCCACCACCUCAUGGUGGUGGUGGUGGCCUUUUCUUAGCUUUCCGGCCAAACAGAACAUAUAUCCACACUAAGGCUUUGAGAAAUGAUCCUUGCCACCCACCUAGUGGCUCAUAGCGACGGCAGCGACAACACAACGGCGGCUAAGGUGGUACGCCGUAGGUUUGCGGUGACAGCCAUCAUGGCCGGCUGCCAUGGUGGUUCUUCACAGCUCCUACUUGUUAAAAGUCCUAACCUAUGAACAUAACAGCCCCUCGGCGCAGAAAACAAUGACUGGAGCGACAUAUUUUAGCCAUACGGAACCACGGUCACGACUGACAAAUAAUACCGGAAGAACAGUGAUGAGGAUGAGCGGAGGCUGUCAUGGAUCGAAGUAGCAUUGACCGCCGGCUAGUGGCGCCUUCGUAUUCAACUGAUGGAGCUUAGCGGUAGCAGCGAGCACCCCCGAGAUUCGUCGACGACUUGCUAUCGCCGGAAACUAGGACUGUGACGCGUUGGUGGAACAGAAACGUGCUAGGCGUGGCGUCCGGUGAUUGAUGACCUCAACAGAGGUGGUGGCGUCGGGAGUUAGGAGAGGCGGCUGGAGGGUGAAGUGGGGGUGGCGGCUACAACAUCCAAGUAGGGUUAGGGUUUUCUAUGUGUUUUAACUUUUAAAUGAAUGGGAAGAAGGUGACGGGGGAAGGAAGGGAGUCGGGUAUAAGUCCCGUUCCAAAACAAUCUAUACACAUUUACAUGUUUGGCCCAUCCUCACGAAAUCUUUUUCAAAGUAAGGCUAAAAGUUACAAAUCAGCCCCCAACAUCCAAGAUUUAUAACAAUACAAGCCCCAAAGGUUACCAUAUAACCCCUCAAUGACCAUUUCUUUUCAACGUAGGUACAUAAUUUACCCAUUUAACCCCAUCUAUCAAAAAUCUUUUCAUAUCAAAUCCAAAUGAUAUCAAACACCCCUUGACUUAUGAAAAUCUUUACAAAUUAAGUCCCAAAAUUACACUUUAACCCCUAGAGAUAUAAAUCUUGUCAUUUGGCUUCCCGAACCAACUCCCAACUAAUUAUUAUUUGGUUUUGGACAAUAAUAAUAAUAAAAUCAUAAUAAAAUUACUUCUCGGGGUUCCGGGUUUAUCAUUAAUUAUCCUGUUUUAAACAGGAUGUUACAAUACUACUCAUAGGAAACGACAUCCCGACGCUGCAGGAGGUUAAGUCUUGGCUCCGGAAAUGCUUUGCUAUGAAGGGACUCAGAGAGGCUUCCUAUAUUUUGGGAAUAAGGAUAGUGAGAGACAGAAGUAAGAGACUAAUAGGACUUAGUCAGAAUACUUACUUGGACAAAGUACUAAAAUGUUUUAUUAUGGAGAAUUCAAAGAAGGGAGAGUUACCAAUCCAAAGUAAUGCCAUGUUGAGUAAGACUCAAAGUCCGAGUACCGAAGCCAAGAUAGAAGAGAUGAGUCGAGUACCUUACGCUUCUGCAUUUGGCACGAUUAUGUAUGCUAUGACUUGUACUCGCCCUGAUGUGGCCUUCGCUUUGAGCAUGGUCAGCAGAUAUCAAGGGAACCCUAACAGAGCACACUGGACCGUAGUCAAGAAUAUUCUUAAGUACCUUCGGAGGACCAAGGAAUGGUUUCUAGUCCUCAGUGGGAGUGAUGACUUAAAGGUGCGAGGGUACAGUGACACCAGUUUUCAGACCGACAAAGACAACUUCCGUUCAUAGUCGGGUUGGGUCUUUACCCUCAAUGGAGGAGAAGUGACUUGGAAAAGUUCCAAGCAAGAGACAGUAGCUGAUUCAAUGUGUGAAUCAGAGUAUAUUGCAGCGAGCGAAGCGUUAAAGGAGGUGAUAUGGUUGAAGAACUUCAUUGGAGACCUUGGAGUUGUACCUGCCAUAAAGGAGCCUAUGGAAAUUUUCUGUGAUAAUGAAGGAGUGGUUGCCUUGACCAAGGAACCGAAGGAUCAUGGUUGAUCUCGACAUAUCGACAGAAAAUAUCACUUUAUUCGACAUCGGGUAAAAGAAGGACUACUCGUAGUGAAUAGGGUAUCGUCAGAGGAUAACCCAGCAGAUCUGCUUACGAAGGGACUGAGUAGGGUUAAGCACUUGCAGCACGCUAGUAGCAUUGGGUUGAAGGAUGAUAUUAGAUUAGAUUAGAUAGUUUAGAAACAUGUAAUAGAUAAAUGUAAUUGACAUUUGAUGAUUAAAUAAAUGAGUAUUAUUUAUAAGUAUAGUUGCUGUCUUAUGUUAAUUGUUUAACUAUUGUUUCACUUUGCAUGUUUUGACUUCCUGAAUAAUUGAGUUAUUUAAGAACAAUCAAAUUAUUUGAACGGUCCACAGUCGUUCAUAUGUUGGAAGUAGGUAUGAUGAAGACUGUCAUGAAUAGGUGUGUAGAUUGUCUAAAAAGUAUUAGACAUAACAAAGGCUUGCUACAACAUUCAUGGGUGCUUAUGAACAAGUUUUGAGCAUUGGAAUAAACCCACGCUUGUUGGAAUCACUUCAUGGAAUUUAUCACGAGUGAUCGCAAGACGAUAAUAUCAUAUGGUCUUAAAACCUAGAUAUAUGGUUUAUUGUUUGCUGAUUGGGUGUGCAUUGAUAAUGCGGAAACGCAUCAGUAACUUGAUGUCAUAAAACACAUUGUUUUGUAUAAUUUGAUUAGUGAAUAGUAAAUACAUAUAAGUCGAAGUUUAUCUGUUCCUUUUAUCCUAAGAGGGUAAAAGCGAUAUUAGGGCCCCUCGAUGAUUUGAUUUGACUUAUAUGCCGGGCCCAGUUAGGACUGAAUUGAUUUGUUCAAUUAAGUUCUAUGUCAAAUGAAUCUNGAGAAACAAACUGCUGGACAAUAUGUAUGACUAUGUUCCAUGUGAUUGUCCGCACGAUAUCUAGAAUAGAGGGCUGUACGAUCACUUAUCUAAAGGACAAGUUACUGAUAAGAUCAAAGUUUGACAGUGUCUUUGAGAAUUGCUAAUCAGAAUAUUCUUACAUUAUAGUUACUAGACUUAUCCAAGUGGGCGACUGUUGGAUUAGUGUCUAAGCCCGUAACUAUAUUUGGUAAGUAUUUGACCCGGUUGUGCAUGGUCCUUUUGGGUUGCCUUCACCGGAGCAACAUGAUAGGAUAAUUUAUAAAUAAAGAGGUUAUUAUGAUUUAUUAAUAUUUAUAUGAUUAAUAUAUUAAAAGAGAAAUCAUAUAGUUUAAUUAAUAUUAGACAAGAAUUAAUUUUGUGGCUAAAAGAGAUUAAUUAAAUAAAGGGGACUAGAAUUGUCAAUUGUGUGAUAGUUGGUUUUUGGCCUUUGGAUCCUUAUGGAUCAUGGGGUGGACGAAAAUAAGGUGUGUGGACUCCUUGAAUUCGUCCAAGCCCUAAUUUAGAAGGAUCCUUGGACUGCUUAAGGCCUAAGUAAUCCAAUUAGGGUUUUAGGCUGUAACCCUAGCAGCUCAAGUAUUUAAAGGACCCAGGGCUACAGAAAUCGGCUACCAUAAACUCUAAGGAGUUCCUAAAGCCGAUUUUGUGCCGACAACCUCUCUCCAUAUCAUCCUCUUGCUUCUUAGUGUUUGUAAGCCAUUAGAGGAGUGACAAUUGUGACUCUAAGCUCCAAGAAUAACAAGAUUCAAGUUUUCCAAGAAAGAGGUAAUCAUCUAGAUCUACUUUGUAAUGUUAAAUNAGAUCUACGGUUUGCAAGUCUCGGAUGAAAAGCAUGUUCAUUAGAGAAACCUAGAUCCAAGCAUUAGGGUUUGUAUGUGCACAUAGGAAUGUUCUUAUGGCUCAAACCCAUCACAUGCAACCAAGCUAGUCACCUCACCCGUCUCUCUCCCCUCUCCUCUUCUACUCUCGGCCGAAGACAACACACACACACAUUACACCAAAUUCUCUCUAUUACUCUCAAGAAUCAUUCAUCUUCUUCCUCCAAAAUUCUUAAGACUUUGCUUGGGUUUCAAGAGGAUUUUCACAAGGAAAUCAUCAUAUCUUGGUAAGUCUUUACACAUCUAAGUUUUAUAACUCCAUUUUUAUGAUAGAUCACUCUUUUAAGAAAAGUUUUUGGUGAUCAUACUCCUAGAAAUCUUCUUAAGUUCGAGAUCUACUCAAGGGAGUUGCUAGGACCGAAAAUCACUUCAUCUCUUUCCACUUCUUCUUCAAAAACUGAAUGUCAAGCAAGAGGUGAGUUCAUGCCCCCUGGUUUUCAGUUUUCACAUGAUUUUUGCGGGAGAAUGCAAGUAAAAUGUGUAGAUCUAUGUGUUAUAUGCAUGUUUUGUGUGAAUUCUUAGUUUGUUUGGUGAUAAUGGGUUAGAUCUUAGCAAAUCUCGAAAUUUUAAGUAUUAUAUAACAAAGAUGUAUGAACUAUGACAUUAUAUACAUUACAUUAUCAAGCUAAAAGUGAUUAGAUGUUUAAGAUGCAAAAGAAUUCAACAAAAACCUUGUUAAAGGUUAAAAUUCUCAAGAAAACAAAAGAUGAGGAUAAAAAGUGAAAAUUAUGUUUUUAAAAGGGCCAAACAGGUCCUACAUGUAUAAAAAGGUAUUUUUAUGCUAAAUAUACUUUUAAAAGGGCCAAAAAUGAAAUUUUAAGCUUAAUGGGCCAAAACUUAUGGGCCUCAAAAUUUUAGACCCAAAUUGCGAAAAAAUGAAGUUUUGGGGUUAAAAAUGUUAUUUGGCCAAAGUUUGAGUCAUAAAUGUAAAUAAACCAAAUUGAGCGGUGAAAAUAACAUUUAUUUUCAAAUUGACCAAAAAUGUAAAAUUUACCAAAAAUUGGGCCGAAAGUGUAAACCUUUGCAAACAAAGGGCUGAAAAUGUAUUUUUCUGCAAAACAAGGUUCUAAAUGUGAAAACAUAACUUUUUGGGCUAAAACUGUAAAUUUUUAGACGUUCAGGACGAAAUUGCAAAUUUUUAUGACUUAUGGACUAAAGUGUCAUUUUUACAAAAUUUUGGGCCUUAAUUAAAAAUUGGAGGAUUAUUGGCCACAAAUGACAUUUUUACAAACAAAAAGAAAGCUUCUCAUCAUCAAUCUACUAAAACUUGGACUAAAACAAACAAUAGAACAAAACGAAUGAACAAAAUACGUCGAUAACUAUUUAUUAGGCAUAAUAUUCAUGUUACUUGGCCAUUGAACCCUAAGGGCCCAAUUAAGUGUAUAUUUAGCCAAAUGUUUUCCAUGACGUGUUUAUUGGGUCUUGUGACCCACUUACAUGUUAAUAUGGGCUUAAGUUAUGGACUAUAUGUUUAUUGGGCCUUUGUGGCCCAUAUACAUGUCUAUUGGGCCCAAAUCACCCUCUUACAUGUUAUUGGGUCCUUGUGGUCUAAUUACAUGCUAACUGGGCUUGGAAUGAAAUUCAUGUGCUAGUGGAUCAUAAAUAAACCGUUGCAUAAUCAUUAAACUUCGUAUACUUAAUUAUGUACCGUUUGAAUAGAAAAACAUACUACAUAUCAUUAAAACAUUAAACAUAGUACGAAAGUGGUUAAGAAUCUAGUGAGACAUAUCGGUUGGUACCUCUGAGUGUACAAUCGUAGCCCGUAGUUAUAAUCAGAGUUUCCUGGUAGGAAAGCGGGAUUUUGUGUAUAGAUCUAUACGGGGUGACCCCGCACGCCUUAGCUGCUCGCUACAGCUAGACUAGGCCAGUCUAGGGAGACAAAAUCCUUAGCAAGACCUAUAUUUGGAAAAAUACCAAGACGGGCGACCUAGUCAUUAUCAUGCAUGGUUAUAACGACUCAUAUAGGGAUUCGUUACCAAAAGAUGAACCUUUUGAAGAUAAACUCUUUAAUUGUGUCAAUGCAAAACGACUUAUUUAACAAUACAAGAACCUAGUCGCUGUUAUAAAACAUAAAAUAUCGGAUUCUCUGGGGAAAUUAUUCAUAUACAUUUAUCAAUUAUUCAAAAUACAAUGAAUCUAAACCACACUCGUAUAAGUUAUAACUAUGAAAUUCACACAUGCAUUUAUACUUGAUUUUCACAGCAUUUUUAAACAUUUUUCAGAAAAUAUCGGAUUUUCUAGGUUUUUAUAAAAGAUACAAAGACUUUUACUCACACAUACUUAUGAACUCACCAACAUUAUAUAUGUUGACCAUUAUCAAAAUAAUUUGUUUUCUCAGGUAAUCGUUAAGCCGGAAGAUUUCCAAGUGUGUAUGGUUUCGUUUAUGUAAUAGCAAUUAUCGUACUUUUAAAAAUUUGAACUUAUGUAUUUAACAAUGCACUUGAUGUGAACAAUGCUAGUUAUAUUAUGUAAUGUUGGUGAUGAUCGUGUUAUGAUUCAUGUAUAUUCAUUGUGAUGAUUAUUCAAUUGUUAGUCACACGAGCCCCCGGACGUUUCUGCCGUCUGGUUCGGGGGUGUGACAAGUUGGUAUCAGAGCAAUGUUUAUAGUGAACUGGCAUAUCUAACCAUACAUGAUAUGCAACUAUAAACACAAUGGGACUAAAUAACUCUGAACAAAACAAAAAUUUCACACUUAUGUGCGUAUAUUAGGAUAAUAACCUAACAAUACCUUAUAAAAGCUUCUGGAGGAAAUUGAACACUAUGAUUAAACCUCGACAGUUAUGUAGUUAUAUUAGGGAUAUAUAUAGCCUGGUAAACUAUAGUUAUUCAGAAUAUGACCAACAUGUGUUCGGGAGUGAUCACAACGGGAUUUGAAUCCAAAAGCAUACCCCACACUAUCUAAUAACUCUAGUGAACCCAAAACACAAAUAACUAAAAAUAUACUAUAGGAAUAAUCAAAACGUGACUUUCUCCCGCGUCUCCAUGUAGUCACCAUGGAGGAUGAUCAGCAAGAGGUGCACUUCUACCAAGCACCAGUGGCUCAAGGAGUGCUUGAGGAGGAACCUGAAGGGGAACAAGAGGGAGCCCACGACGUUGGGCUCGACGAGUACACUGGUAUCGACUAUGAGUUUGAGGGGUCUGAAGAAAACCCCGAAGGAGACCCUACCAAGGGUCCGGAGGUGGGACCCGAAGUGGAAUCGGAAGAAUAUGUGGUAACUGAUUACGAGUAUGGCGAAUUUGACCAGGAGUUAGACGCAGGAAAGGACGUUGAGGAGACACGUAGUGAACCCCACCUAUCGAAAGCCCCAUCAGAUCUACGCACGGUUCAGAAGGGUGAUACAGACCAUCUACGCUCUCUCGAGGAACAAAUAAUCAGCCUCAAACUUCAACUUUUUACGGCCGAGGAAAGAGCUGUACGAGCCGAGCAAAGGGUAGAGGUGAUCACCCAAGAGGCGAAUGAACUGACUGAACUCCUAAUAUGCCAGCUCGACGAUUGAGUGUCAUCGUCAUCAUUACUGAUGGGACUUACCCUACUACUUGCUAUAUAAGUCUUAGCAUAGGUGGACUAGCCGUACCUAUCGUUAGUAUUAUGCUUAUGUGAUCUAUGCUAUGUACCAUCGACUCUAUGUUUAAGUGAUUACACUACUCAUAGGGUCGUCAUGCUGCCAGAUUUUAUAGUUCUAUGUACUGUAUGCCUUUUGGCAAAUUUUCAUGUAUCAAAACUAUUAGUAUUAAUGAAAAUGCUUUAUGUUUUAUCAUGACAUUGUUAUCUACUAUGUGUCUUAUUUCCCUACAGGGCCGACUCUAUGUUGAGCUUUUUUAAGCAAGGGCUUAAGGACCCCAAUUCUAAUGGGGCCUAUAUUCUCCAAAGUCCAAAAGUUUAGUCCAUUAAAAAAUCUAAUCUAGUAACCACAAAAUAAAUGAAGCGGAAGAAUAAAUCAAUGAUGGUUGCAUUCAUGAAACUAAAAUGACAUUGCAUUCUUCUACCGAUUUUGAUUUUUGCGAUAUAUUCAUCUUCCGAGUAUAGCAAAGGCCAAAGGGCCCCAAAUUUUUGGCUCGCUUUGAGCCCCCAAAAUGGUUGAGCCACUCAUGCUUCCCUAUUUUAUGUCAACGUGUGAAAUUACUUAAGUACAUGCUAUACCCUUAGACUAUAGGAUCACAACUCGCAAAAACCGUAGGCACUCAACAUCUUUCCGUUCCAUGGCAGAAAGAUGCCUCAAAGACCCAACCGUGGAAACAACACAACACCAACCCUGACGGAAAUAAACUUGGUUGCAUUCCAGGCAGCAGUGUCCGCUGCGGUCACUGCGACACUUGCAUAGAUUCACAAUAGAAACAACGGAGAAGGCAACGGGCAGAGAGCCGGAAGCACAAAUCAAGGGACAAACCACUGAGCCGCACGACCAUGAACAUACAAGGAUUUCAUCAACGCCAAACCUCGGACCUUUAAUGGGACAGGAGGCAUCAUAGCCCUGAAGAGAUGGAUUGAGAAAGUAGAGUCUGUUUUCAAAAUCUACGAAUGUCCGAAUGAGUUUAAGGUCAAGUUCGCAGCCUGCACGUUCAUUGACCAAGCUCUCUCCUGGUGGAAUGGCCAUGUGGAGGCCAUGACACUCCCGGUAGCGAACGCGAUGCCCUGGGAAGAGCUUAAGGAGAUGAUGUUGGCAGAAUACUAUCCUAGAGGUGAGAUACAGAAGAUGGAACAAGAGUUGUGGAACCUCACGGUCCAAAACUCCAAUAUCGACACAUACAUAUCCAGGUUUAGUGAGCUAUCUCUUCUGUGUCCCAGAAUGAUCACCUCGGAGGAGAAUAAGAUUGAAAGGUUUAUUUGGGGACUGACUGAACCUAUCCAAGGGAAUGUCAUUACGGAAAACCCUAAGACGUUUGAUAAUGCCAAAAGACUAACCAAGAAACUAUACGAUCACGGCAAAAAGAAGGGUGCCAAGACAAUGGUAGCGGAGGUUAAGAAGGAGGAAGAGAACAAGAAGGGGAAAAACAACAAGCGAAAAGGAAAGCAAAAUUUGGAAUUGUCUAAGAAGCAACAAACAGUGUCUGUCCAUGCUGCAACAUAAGUUACUGCCACACCACAUGCUUCAGCCUCAUCCACACCAAUGCUUCCAAGCAGUACUCGGGAAAUCUCCCCAAGUGUAACAAAUGCAACUUCCACCAUCACGGGGAGUGUAGAGAGAUGAGUUGCACAAGGUGCAAUCGAAAAGGCCAUACAACAAAAUAUUGUAGUACUUAGCUUCAACAGAACCAGAUGACAAACAACUACAACAACAACACCAAUAUUGGAGCUAGCUAUACCUGUUACGAAUGUGGGAAAACGGGGCAUAUCAGGCGGAAUUGCCCCAACACGAACAAUCAAGGGACAGGAGCAGCAGGGAGAGUACUGACAAUGGGUCUGGGUGAAGUAGUGUAGGACCCAGCCGUUGUCACCGGUACGUUCCUACUUAACAACUCGUAUGCAUGCAUCUUAUUUGAUAGCGGAGUAGAACGAAGUUUUGUUAGUAAUAAGUUCAAAUACUUACUAAAACAGCCCAAAAAGCUUAAUGAAGCCUUCACGGUGGAAAUGGCUAAUGGGAAGACUGAAUCAACUAAGGAUAUCUAUGUAGGGUGUACACUAACUCUAAACAAUCACACCUUCCAAAUAAACUUAAUGCUUGUAAAUAUUAGGAAUUUUGAUGUGAUCAUCGACAUGGAUUGGUUAAGCCCCCAUCAUGCCGAUAUUAUGUGUCACGAGAAGGCUGUUGGCCUUCAUUUUCCUAACCACGAAACCCUAAUAAUCUAUGGAGAUAAACCCGAUGCAAACCUUUGCCUUAUCUCAAGUAUCAAGGCACGAAAGUGUCUAGAAAAGAAGAACUGCGCAUUCCUUGCUCACGUGGUGGAUAAAACCAAAGAAGAAGCAAGCAUUCACGACAUCCCAGUGGCCUGUGAUUUCCCAUAUGUGUUUCCAGAAGAUCUUCUGGGAAUACCCCCAGAAUGACAAAGCAAAUUCCAAAUUGACCUAGUGCCUGAAGCCACUCCAAUCGCCAAAUCACCCUAUAGGUUGGCUCCUGCAGAAAUGUAGGAAUUAUCAAGCAAAUUGAGCGAACUCCUGAAUAAAAGAUUUAUCAGACCCAACUUCUCACCGUAGGGAGCUCCGGUUCUUUUCGUUAAAAAGAAAAAAGGAUCCUUCAGGAUGUGCAUCAAUUAUAGGGAAUUAAAUAAGCUCACCAUCAAAAACUAGUAUCCACUUCCACGAAUUGAUGAUCUAUUUGACCAACUCCAAGGAACUAGUUACUUUUCUAAGAUAGAUCUGAGAUCUGGUUAUCAUCAACUCAAAGUCUGAGAAGAUGACAUUCCUAAGACUGCUUUCCGAACUCGUUACGGUCUUUACAAAUUUCUCGUGAUGCCUUUCGGUCUAACAAAUGCCCCCACUACAUUUAUGGACCUCAUGAAUCGAAUCUGCCGCUCAUUCCUUGAUAAACUCGUAAUCGUUUUCAUCGAUGAGAUUCUUGUAUACUCUCGAAGUGAAGAAAAUCAUAGCCAACACCUCCGAUAGAUUUUAGAAACCCUACGGGCUUAAAAGCUAUAUGCGAAAAUCUCCAAGUGCAAAUUCUGGAACCGCAGUGUAAACUUCAUGGGCCAUGUAGCCAGUCAAGAAGGAAUACACGUGGACCCCUCCAAGAUCAAAGCAAUCGAAAGUUGGGCGACUCCGGCAAAGCCAACGGAAAUUCGCCAAUUCUUAGGUCUCGCAGGCUACUACCGAAGAUUCAUUUAGAACUUCUCCAAGAUAGCCAAAACCCUCACCACAUUGACUCAGAAGGACGUACCUUUCAACUGGACCGAGAAGCAAGAAAUUGCCUUCCAAUAUUUGAAGCAAGCACUAUGUAGUGCUCCAGUGCUAUCCUUACCAGAGGGAACCGAAGACUUCAUAGUUUACUAUGAUGCUUUGAAUCAAGGAUUAGGUUGUGUCCUCAUGCAACGAGAGAGGGUAAUUGCUUAUGCAUCCAGACAACUAAAAACGCAUGAAAUAAAUUACACUACGCAUGAUCUUGAACUGGGGCCGGUGGUUUUCACCCUAAAAAUUUGGAGGCACCACCUCUAUGGUACCAAGUGAACAAUCUUUAUAGACUACAAGAGCCUCCAACACAUUCUAAAUCAAAAAGAACUAAACAUGAGGCAACGGAGAUGGGUUGAACUGUUAAAUGAUUAUGAGUGUGAAAUCAAAUACCAUCCAAGCAAGGUUAACGUAGUAGCCGAUGCCCUGAGCCGAAAGGAGUAUUCAAGUCAUCGUGUGAAGACCCUGUCAAUCACUAUCCAAUCUCAUCUAGCCUCAUAGAUCAAGGAAACCCAAUUGGACACAUCGAAACCAGAGAAUGUCACCAGUGAAUCGCUACGAAGAAUGGAGAAGGAGAUCGAAGUCAAAAACGACGAAACCUACUACUUCAUGAAUAGAAUUUGGAUUCCCAAAAUUGGGGGAUUUAAAGAGGUAAUCAUGCAUGAAGCCCACAAGACGCGAUAUUCUAUUCAUCCGGGGUCAAACAAAAUGUAUUUGGAUAUCAAGCAGCAAUAUUGGUGGCCUAAUAUGAAGGCAGGAAUAGCCACUUUCGUGGGCAAGUGUCUUACUUGCGCCAAGGUGAAAGUGGAAUACCAAAAGCCCUCGGGACUGCUGCAACAACAAAGGAUACCCGAGUGGAAAUGGGAGAGGAUUACUAUGGACUUCGUGACCAAAUUGCCAAAGGCAGCAGAUGGACUAGAUUCUAUCUGGGUAAUUAUCGAUAGAUUAACAAAGUCCGCUCAUUUCCUACCAAUAAAAGAGUCCUACAAGAUGGAAAAUCUGACCUGAAUCUACCUCAAGGAGGUUGUGAGACUCCAUGGAGUGCCAAUAUCUAUUAUCUUGGAACGAGAUAGCAGAUUUACUUCAAGAUUCUGGCAAUCUCUUUAGAGAGCAAUGGGAACACAGCUAGAUAUGAGCACUGCCUACCACCCACAGACGGAUGGUCAGAGUGAGCGCACCAUCCAGACACUCGAGGAUAUGCUCCGAGCUUGUGUGAUUGACUUCGGCAAAUCAUGGGAUGCCCACUUGCCACUGAUCGAAUUCUCUUAUAACAACAGUUACCAUACGAGCAUCAAGGUUGCUCCCUUCGAGGCUCUCUAUGGUCGUAAAUGUAGAUCGCCCCUAUGUUGGGCCGAGGUGGGUGACACACAAUUAUAAAAAGGGCAAUCGCCAUCCAGUGCACUUACCAGACCUGAAAUAAUUCGUGAAACAACCGAGAUGAUAGUCAAAAUCAAAGCUCGACUUCAGGCAUCGCGAGACCGACAAAAGAGCUAUGCUGACAAGCGACGAAAGCCACUAGAAUUUCAAGCCGGGGAUCGUAUGCUAUUAAAGGUCUCUCCAUGGAAGGGAAUGAUUCGAUUUGGGAAGAGAGGAAAAUUGAAUCCGCGAUACAUUGGACCAUUCGAGAUUCUUGCCCGGAUUGGUCUAGUAGCUUACAAGAUGCAGCUACCCGCCGAACUCAGCGACGUACACCCGGUGUUCCACGUCUCGAAUCUGAAAAAGUAUUUAUCAGAUGUAACCCUUGUCGUCCCAUUGGAAGAGAUUGAGUUAAACGAAAACCUCCUGUUCGUUGAAGAACUAGUCAAAAUUAUGGAUACGGAGGUAAAGCGUACAAAGCAAAGUCACAUCCCAAUCGUGAAGGUUUGAUGGAGUGCAAAACGUGGACCGGAAUUCACGUGGGAACGUGAAGACCAGAUGAAGCAGAAGUAUCCUUACUUAUUCCUUCCUUCACAAACCUAGUUUCAAAAGAAUUUCAGGACGAAAUUCCCUCUAACGGGGGGAUAAUGUCACAACUAGCAUUUUUGAUAGGAAAUUCUAUUCCUGUGUUACCAUUCAACUAUUGUAAAUCAUAUGCUCUAGGUAAAUCUCACUCAAUGCUCAUAUAUAUAUAUAUAUAUAUAUAUAUAUAUAUAUUCAUCAGUUAUGUUCAUCAAAGAGAGUAACUACCCUAAAAAUCCUGGUUUAAGUCCAUAUUGGACUAGGAGUUCCUUAUUAGGCCUAACGGACCAAUAAGCACCCAACUCAACUUUAUUGGACUUAGAAGCCCUAAUUAGAUUCUAAUUGAACCUAAUUCAUAAAUCCAAAACAUUUUGGACCAUUUGGGUCUAGAAUGAUUCAUUCUAACCCUAGUGGGCCUAAUUGGGCCAUAACAAAUCAAAUUAAUCUUAGUGAGCCAUAAGUCUAUUCUUUUAUUCAAACUGGGUCGUGAAUGCUUCUAAGGGCCCAAUGGGCCAAAAAAUUCUAUGUUUAGGAUCCAAAUAUCCUAGCUAAGGUUAAUGGGCUCAAACUACUCCAUCUUUUAUUCUUAGCCCAAAAUCUCGGCCCAAGUAUAAAAAAAAAAAGAAAAAAAAAGAGAAUUUAGGAAGGGUUGACUUUGGAGGUGCCACCUCCAUUUUGUUCAUUUUACAUCCAUGUAAGAACCACCAUGCAACUAAGCUAGUCACCUCACCCCUCUCUCUCCCCUCCCCUCUUCUACUCUCGACCGAAGACAACACACACACACACACACAUUACACCAAAUUCUCUCUAUUACUCUCAAGAAUCAUUCAUCUUCUUUCUCCAAAAUUCUCAAGACUUUGCUUGGGUUUCAAGAGGAUUUUCACAAGGAAAUCAUCAUUUCUUAGUAAGUCUUUACACAUCCAAGUUUUAUAACUCCGUUUUCAUGAUAGAUCACUCUCUUAAGAAAAGUUUUUGGUGAUCAUACUCCUACAAAUCUUCUUAAGUUUGAGAUCUACUCAAGGGAGUUGCUAGGACCGAAAAUCACUUCAUCUCUUUCCAUUUCUUCUUCAAAAACCGAUCAUCAAGCAAAAGGUGAGUUCAUACCCCCUUGUUUUCAGUUUUCACAUGAUUUUUGGGGGAGAAUGCAAGUAAAAUGUGUAGAUCUAUGUGUUAUAUGCAUGUUUUGUGUGAAUUCUUAGUUUAUUUGGUGAUAAUGGGUUAGAUCUUAGCAAAUCUUGAAAUUUUAAGUAUUAUUUGAGAAAGAUUUAUGAACUAUGACAUUAUAUACAUUACAUUAUCAAGCUAAAAGUUAUUACAUGUUUAAGAUGCAAAAGAAUUCAACAAAAACCUUCUUAAAGGUCAAAAUUGUCAAGAAAACAAAAGAUAAGGGUAAAAAGUGAAAAUUAUGUUUUUAAAAGGGCUAAACAGGUCCUACAUGUAUAAAAAGGUAAUUUUAUGCUAAACAUACUUUUAAAAGGUCCAAAAAUGAAAUUUUAAGCUUAAUGUGCCAAAACCUUUGGGCCUCACAGUUUUGGACCCAAAUUGCGAAAAAAUGAAGUUUUGGGGUUAAAAAUGUUAUUUGGCCAAAGUUUGAGUCAUAAAUGUAAAUAAACCAAAUUUAGAGGUGAAAAUAACAUUUAUUUUCAAAUUGGACCAAAAAUGUAAAAUUUACCAAAAAUUAGGCCGAAAGUGUAAACCUUUGCAAACAAAGGGCUGAAAAUGUAUUUUUCUGCAAAACAAGGUUCUAAAUGUGAAAACAUAACUUUUUGGGCGAAAACCGUAAAUUUUUAGACGUUCGGGACAAAAUUGCAAAUUUUUAUGACUUAUGGACUAAAGUGUUAUUUUUACAAAACUUUUGGCUUAAUUAAAAAUUGGAGGAUUAUUGGCCACAAAUGUCAUUUUUACAAGAAGAAAGCUUCUCAUCAUCAAUCUAGUAAAACUUAGACUAAAACAAACAACAGAACAAAACGAAUGAACGAAAUACGUCGAUAACUAUUUACUAGGCUUAGUAUUCAUGUUUCUUGGCCAUUGGACCCUAAGGGCCCAAUUAAGUGUAUAUUGAGCCCAAUGUUUUUCAUGACAUGUUUAUUGGGUCUUGUGACGCACUUACAUGUUAAUUUGGGUUUAAGUUAUGGAUUAUAUGUUUAUUGGGCUUUUGUAGCCCAUAUACAUGUCUAUUGGGCCCAAAUUACCCUCUUACAUGUUAUUGGGCCCUUGUCGUCUAAUUACAUGCUUAUUGGGCUUGGAAUGAAAUUCAUAUGCUAGUGGAUCAUAAAUAUACCGCUGCAUAAUCAUUAAACUUCGUAUACUUAAAUAUGUACCGUUUGAAUACAAAAACAUACUAUAUAUCCUUAAACACUAAACAUAGAAAGGGGUUAAAAAUCUAGUGAGACAUGUCGGUUGGCACCUCUGAGUGUACAAACAUGUCGGUUGGCACCUCUGGUAGGAAAGCGGGAGUUUGUGUAUGGAUCUAUACGGGGUGACCCCCCAUGCCUUAGUUGCUCGCUACGGCUAGACUAGGCCAGUCUAGGGCGACAAAAUCCUUAGCAAGACUGACAUUUGGAAAAAUACCAAGACGUGCGACCUAGUCAUUAUCAUGUAUGGUUAUAACGGCUCAUAUAGGGAUUCGAUACCAAAAGAUUAACCUUUUGAAGAUAAACUCUUUAAUUGUGUCAAUGCAAAAUGACUUACUUAAUUAUACAAGAACCUAGAUGUUGUUAUAAAACAGAAAAUAUUGGAUUUUCUGGGGAAAUUAUUCAUAUACACUUAUCAAUUAUUCAAAAUACAAUGAAUCUAAGCCACACUCAUAUAAGUUAUAACUAUGAAAUUCACACAUGCAUUUAUACUUGAUUUUCACAGCAUUCUUAAACAUUUUUCAGAAAAUAUCGGAUUUUUUGGGUUUUUAUAAAAGAUACAAAGACUUUUACUCAAACAUACUUAUGAACUCACCAACAUUAUAUAUGUUGACCGUUUUCAAAAUAACUUGUAUUCUCAGGUAAUCGUUAAGCCGAAAGAUUUGCAAGUGUGUAUGGUUUCGUUUAUGUAAUAGCAAUUAUCGUACUUUUCAAAUUUGAACUUAUGUAUAUAACAAUGUACUUGAUGUGAACAAUGCUAGUUGUAUUAUGUAAUGUUGGUGAAGAUCGUGUUAUGAUUCAUGUAUAUUCAUUGUGAUGAUUAUUCAAUUGUUAGUCACAUGAGCCCCCGGACAUUUCCGUCGUCUGGUUCGGGGGUGUGACAACCCAGAACUUCCUGCGAUGGGUGAUGGUCUUUGAAUUGACCCGCCGUCGUUCCAGUAAUAGCGAUGGGGGUCGCCAUGGUUGCAGGUACUCUAACGCGCGAUUGUCGGAGCUUUAGAGAUUUGGCGAAUAGCAACUGGGUGGUGAGAUUUGGAGCUAUCGGUGGAUAGUGUAGUUUGUGAUAGAGAAAUGAGGGUGGUGUUUUUGGGUUGUGUCUGGUGGUGGUACAAGGUGGAAUGGUGGUUUGGUGGUGGUCGUAGUGGCGGGAAUGGAGAUGGAGAAGGGUGGCGUUAAGUGGUGAUAGAUGAUGAAAGGUUCAGUUGAGGUUGAAGGUUGGUCAAAGUGACGAGAGAGAAAGAGAGAGAGAGAGAGAGAGAGAGAGAGAGAGUGGUUUAUUUUUAUUUUUAUUUUUUAUAUUUUUAAAUCUAAAAUCAGAAAAACAAAAAAAAUCAUAUUAACAGGGGAAAAUCCGUCAUUUUGAAAAAAAUCAAAACAGAUUGGACCAAACAAGCAACAAAAUGAAAACUUUGGACCUUUGGUGCUAGUCUAAACCUUUUUGGACCAAAGUGACAAUUUUGAGUAAACCACAAGGACCAUUUAUGUAGUUUAGUCAUUUGAUUUCUAAANUUAUUCAUCAUUAUUGUUAUUAUUAUUAUUAUUAUUAUUAUUAUUAUUAUUAUUAUUAUUAUUAAUAAAAUAGCAUGUUUUGUUAGUUUAUAUUUGUUUUUUAUGAUUAUUUAACAAACAAAAAAUAUGACAUGAAGUGUUAUAACUAGUUGCUUAUUUCCUCUAUUUGGGUGUGAUAACUAGUUGCAUACACUUACUAGUCUAAACCAAUAAACUCUUUUGGGUACUUUCUAAAAUUUAGUUUUUGUUAAGACAAAUUUUACUAUUAUCAUUUUCUCAUCAACUCACAAGAUAAAUACGAAAGGUCAAGGGUUACAAUUGAGCUGUAAAAAGUCAGGUCUGUCAUCGAUAUAUAAUAAUGACAAAACAUCAUAAAUGGUCCCUGUGGUUUCAUAAAAUCUAAAAUUUCAUUUCUAAUUUUAAAACCUCCUGGAUGGUAUAUGUGGAUUCAAAACUUUUAACAAAAGGUUCUUAUUGCUAACUGUCAAGUUUUGUCCGUUAAGUGACUACUAUAAGGACCAUUGAUGAAUUUUUUGUUAUUUAAAAAAAAUUAUCUUAAUAUACAGUGGGUCCCCUCUCUCUCUCUCUCUCUCUCUCUCUCUCUCUCUUUGCCAUCAAAACGUCAACAUAUCAUGUGUUGUUCCAGUGUCGAAGUUGAGCACUAGGGGUAGCCAAUGUUGUUGUUGAAUUAGCUUGUCUUCGUAAUCUUCCUCUUGAAUUGUCUUGCCCUCUUGCUUGUUCCAGUGUUGUGUUUUGUGAUAAUGUGAGUGUUAUGUAAUGUACCUAUCUUCUAUCCCAGUUCAAGACCAAAGAACCAAACAUGUUGAAAUAGACUUACAUUUUAUUAGGGAAUGCGUUUUUAAUGGGCGGGUUCGCAUGCUACAUGUUCCAUCUGCUCACCAUUUUGUUGACAUAUUUACUAAAGGACUUUCUACACAAUUAUAUCUAAGAUUUUCGGAACAGUUUAAGCAUAUGUGAACCCCCUACUUCAACUGAGGAGGAGUGUGAGUUUGUUUAUAUUUAUUUAGUGUAGGCAUUUAUACAUUGUGUAGUUGUGAGUCCUUUAAGUAAAUAUCGCGUACUAUUUAAAGCAAUGGAGUAUAAAGAACCCUAAUGGGUAUUUUCACAACUUUACUGUUCAACACGGAGGAACAGCAGAGGUAGAAAUACGUGGUCAACAUACAACAAAGGCAAAAGAAUUUGGCUCAAAACUAGUCGAUCACCAGCAUAUCCCAGCUACCAAGAGCCAAACUAGAAAGUAGAAACCACCCAAUUCAAUACCCACUGAUCACCACUAUAUAUAUAUAUAUAUAUAUAAUACAAACCUUACUAUUUCUAAAAAUAAAUUUAAGACGUCCAAAAGAUUAAACAGUAAGUACAAGUAUUUAAUACACAAAUCUUAUCUUUGAAUUCUUAUCUUUCUAUAACUGGUCGACAAAAUAAAAAAUCAACAACAAAUGUGGGAUUCAAGGGAUUAAAAGGCCGACUUGCUGAAUUUGUCUCUUAAAACACGUUUUGAAUAUUUUGAAAUUUCCUUAAUCUUCUAUUUUUCUACAAAUUCCCCUACAUAAUCUGAGGAAAGUAAAUUAGGAAUUUGAAAAAUCCCUUCAUCAUCCCAUUAUCUCGGACGUCCUUCUUCUACAAAUUAGUAUUUACAUCCUCCAAUUUAUCGAUGCUCUCUCUCUCUCUCUCUCUCUCUCUCUCUCUCUCCCCCUCUCUCUCUCUCUCUCAGAUGAUGAACUCGAAAAUCCCGAAUCUAUACUCUCAAUUCUAGAAUCUGGGAUUCAUGUCGGCCUCCUCUGCAUCAGUGAUUGUAGCAUGUACAUGAUUAUCGCCUAAACCUCCACUGUGAUCAAGAAGAAGUCAUUUUUGCGUUUGAUUCACCAUGUCUAUUUAUUUACCGAUUUUUUAUUUUUUCUUUAGGGCAAAAUGAAGCAUACCAUAAAUCCUCUCUAUCUCACUCGAUCUAUGUCUUUGGAAGAACCACCGUACCACCUCCAUUCUCUUUUCAAAUCUAUGGUAAAAAAACUUCUUUUUCAUCUCUUAUAUUGAAGAAAUUACAACUAAAUUUACUUUUCAUCUCUUCUAUUGAAGAUAUUGCAACCAGAUUUCCUUUUCAUCUCUAUUCUCGAGCUUGAAGGAAAAGGCGAACCCUUGUUCUCUCCCACCAGUUGACCAUGAUUUCUUGGUACUGGUUUUAAAACCAAUGAGGUACUUUUUGCUAAUAAUUUCCAACUUUGUGUGUAUCUGAUGGUUACUUUACUUAUUGUUAACCAAUUUUAGUUUUUGGAUCUGAUCGUAUGUGAUUUUGUCAUUUUCACUCACUACCUGUCUGUCGCUUAUCUAAUGAACCAAAAGAAAAACGAUUUUAGGGAUUUUCAAUGAACAUGGCUUGGUCUAAUUUUGGGGUUUCCAGCAAGAACAACUUUCUUCGUCUCCUCUUUUUCUAUCCAAAUCCUAUGGUUGAUUGUGUAACGUCCCAAAAUACGGGCCAAAAAUUUCAUUUUUAGUUAAGUGAUUUGCAAAACGUUUGUAACAAAAUAUCAUACGAUUAUAUCAUUUAAUAAAACAUGUCCCGUGAUUGCAAACCAAACCGUAAAACAUAAUAAUGUCAGAGUACAAAUCCCAGAAUAUCUCAUAGUGCGGAAAACAAAGAGCGUGUUUGUGAUGCGCCGCUACCGCGCCAGCUCCAUCCCCUUGACUGAAGAGGUACCUGAAACAACAACUAAAAAUCGUAAGCACGAAGCUUAGUGAGUUCCCCCACUGUACCACAUACCAUACAACUACAUAACAUACAUAUAUUGUCAGACACAUCUGGGUGCCCGACCUACCCCUUCGGUCCUCUCGACCGGAUACUGACUAGCAUAUCUGGGUGCUGGUCUCCCCCUUCGGUCCUCUCGACCAGAUGCUGGGGACUAUUUGACCCCUACUACUACCACAUAACACAUAUCACGUAAUCUAUCUAGCAUGGUUGGGCAUGACUAUCCCUUCGGCCCUAUCGACCGGUAAUCAGGGGACUAUCUCCCCUACUGUCACUAGCACCUAACAUCAUAUCAUACUAGCACAUAAACAUAUCGCAGGUAGUAGCAACCCUAGAUGAAUAUCACAGAGAUAAUCAUCUAAUCAUACAACUCCUACUGGUGGACCGACAUUGUGGCCGUAGACCCACCGCUACUGGAAGGUAACUAACCUCGUAGUAGCUGCUGAACUGUGUGGGAAUCCUCUAACUGUUGCUGCUCCGGAAAUCCUCCGGCUAAAAUUCCCACAAAACACUUAGUCAGAAACUGACAUCUACUAUUAGGGUAAAAUGACCAUUUUACCCCUGACGAAGUCAAAGUCAAAGUCAACUUCUAGUUGACAUGAAUCGCCGAGUUGGCUCGCCAACUUGCCGAGUCCCUAUCCUUCCAUUAAACCUCAUACCCAUCUCUACUCGUUGAGUUAGGCGAUGACUCGACGAGUUUUCCUUCUAAAUGACAUCGACUGAAUCCUCAUCUGACUCGCCGAGUUGUAUGAACAAGUCGUCGAGUUCAUCAUCAACUGAUACACAGAUCCUGUCCUUGACUCGCCGAGUUGUAUGAACAACUCAUCGAGUUCAUCUUCAUCCUUAAGAAGAUUGCAUUGGACUCGCCGAGUCUGUUCAUGCACUCGUCGAGUCCCAUGAAUUUCCAGAACAAUGGCUUAGUCCAGAACGGUGGGUCACCCCUUGGGACCCCCUUAAAACCUUUCCACACUCAACUGGGUCCUUAUAAACCUUAACUGAUAUGGGACAGAAUCUUAGACUCGCCGAGUCCAUGAACGGACUCGUCGAGUUGGUCACAUUCACUGAAUCUUCGAUUUCUAAUGUACAACCCUUGAUCAAAAGGUAGAUCUAUGCCUCUACAAUCGAUCUAGCACAUAAAGUUACAACCUUUACAUGCUUGCAUGGGACUUUAAGCUCAAAAGGUCCUAAAACAAGCUCUCACAAUACAUGAGGCCUUCUUUGAGUGCAAAAGCCACUCCUUUCUGCCUUGUAACCCCUCUAAGGACCUAGAUCCGAAACAUCAACCGCAAACCAUGCUUGCAAUCAUGGUUGGUGACCAAAAUGGCUUAGAAAAGCCCUAAAACUCCAAAAAAUGGGACCUAUGAAAAGAGCAAGCAAGGUAUAGACUUUAUACCUUCUGAAGUCUGCAAAUGAUGCUCAAAACCGAAUCCUUCUAGACUCCUCUUGAUCGUUUAAGCUUUUCGUUCCUUCCUUGGAUCACAAAAGCAUCAAAAUCACUCCAAAAGCCUUAGAUUGCUUUAAUAACGGCUAGGGUCUGCUAUGGGGGUCUUCUGGUAGAAAAUGGGACUAAGGAGGCGGAGUUAAGGUGUUUAAAUAAGGUGCAAACCCUUGGGUUAGGGUUUUUGUCCAAUCAGGGUCUACUCGCCGAGUCCACAACUUAAACUCCGCGCCUGAUCCCGCUUCUACUCAACGAGUUGGUCCUUUAACUCGCCGAGUCCAAGACCAAAUGCAAAAUAUUUAAAGAUUUAAUAAAAAGAACACAUAUCAAGAACCAGGUGCUACAAAUCUCCCCCACUUAUUUUAGACUUCGUCCUCGAAGUCUGCUGCUCGAUCCUGAAACAGCUCCGGGUAGUGCUCCAUCAUCUCAUCCACCGACUCCCAAGUCCAUUCCGACCCCUUCCGGUGCUGCCAUUGCACCUUCACGAGUUCUACUCUUUUGUUCCUCAGAUCCUUCAACUUCUGGUCAAGGAUCGCUAUAGGCCGCUCGAUGUAAUUUAGGCUGUCAUGAACCUUAAUGUCCUCCAAGGGUACCACUGCUGAGUCGUCCACCAGACACUUUCGUAGCUGAGAAACAUGGAAAGUGUUGUGUAUCUAACUGAGUUUGUCUGGAAAAUCCAGCCUAUAAGCCACAUUGCCCACCCGGGCUAUAACCCUGAACGGUCCAAUAUACCUUGGGCCCAACUUGCCCCGCUUCAUGAAUCGAAUGACGCCUUUCCAAGGCGACACCUUCAGGAGAACCAUAUCUCCGACUUGGAAUUCCAAGUCUGAACGGCACUUGUCGGCAUAACUUUUCUGCCGACUCUGUGCAGUCUGAAGCCUGCUCCGAACCUGCUGAAUCCUCUCGGUCGUCUUGAGCACCACUUCGGUGCUCCCCAUUACCCUCUGGCCAACUUCCCCCCAACAUAUCGGGGUCCUGCACCUCCUUCCAUACAACAUCUCGAAGGGAGGACGGUCGAUGCUCGCAUGAUAGCUAUUAUUAUACGAGAACUCUACCAACAGAAGGUAAGUAUCCCAGCUACCUCCAAAGUCUAAAAUACAUGCCCGCAGCAUGUCCUCCAGAGUCUGGAUGGUCCGCUCGCUCUGGCCAUCCGUCUGUGGGUGAAAGGCGGUGCUGAAAUGAAGACGAGUACCCAACUCAUCGUGAAACUUCUUCCAAAACCUGGAAGUAAAAUGCACAUCCCUGUCUGAAAUCACUGACAUUGGCACCCCGUUCCGCGCCACUAUCUCCCUGAUAUAGAUGUCGGCCAACUUCUCGGCCGAGAUGCUCUCCUGAAUUGAGAUAAACUGGGCGCUCUUGGUUAAUCAAUCCACGAUGACCCAUAUCGAAUCCACUCCUCGUGCAGUCCUGGGAAGCUUCGUGAUAAAAUCCAUCGUAAUAUCCUCCCAUUUCCACAACAAGAUAUCCAACGACUGCAUCUUUCCGUGUGGUCUCUGAUGCUCGGCCUUGACCUUCCUGCAGGUUAACCACCGCUCCACAUACCAUGCCACAUCCCGCUUCAUGCAGGGCCACCAAUAGUCCAGACGAAGAUCCCUAUACAUCUUUGUCGCCCCGGGAUAAAUGGAGAAUCGGGAUUUGUGCGCCUCCUUCAUCAACAUCUGGCGCACGCCUCCGAGGUAUGGCACCCACACCCUACGGUGUAAUGUCAAUAAUCCCCUGCUCUCAUAGUCGAAGGAGGAAACCUGACCCACUAUGCGCUCACUCUUCCGGUGUUCCUCCUUCAUGGCCUCCUGCUGGGCCUCCCGGAUCCGCUCCAAUAGCGGAGUCACCACUGUCAUCCGCAUGCAGAUAUCCCUGAUCGGCGCCGCCUUGCGGCUAAGCGCAUCGGCCACCACAUUGGCCUUACCCGGGUGAUAAAGGUUCUCGCAAUCGUAAUCCUUUACCAUGUCCAUCCACCGACGCUGCCUCAUGUUUAGAUUCGGCUGAUCCAUGAGGUACCUCAAACUCUUAUGGUCGGUGUAAAUGGUACAACGAACCCCAAAGAGGUAAUGACGCCAAAUCUUGAGGGCGAACACAAUAGCCCCCAGCUCCAAGUCAUGCGUCGGGUAGUUCGCCUCGUGAGGCUUCAGCUGCCUCAACGUGUAGGCGAUGACAUGCCCUCUCUGCAUCAAUAUUGUGUCCAAACUUGAGAUGGACGCAUCACAGUACACAACAAAAUUCUCCAUGCCCUCUGGCAGGGCUAAGAUUGGCGCCUCGCACAAUCUCUAUCUCAGUGUCUCGAACACUACUUGCUGCUCAGGCUCCCAACGAAAGACCACGACCUUCCUUGUUAGCCUGGUCAAAGGUACGACUAUCUUGGAGAAAUCCUGGAUGAAUCUCCAAUAAUAGCCCGCUAAUCCCAGGAAACUCCGAAUCUCAGAUGGAGACUUCGGAACCUCCCAUCUCAUCACGGCCUCCAACUUGGCCGGGUCUACCGAAAUCCCGUUCUGCUUGACAAGGUGCCCAAGAAACUGCACCUCGCGCAACCAAAACUCACAUUUGGAGAACUUGGCAUACAAGCUCUCCCUCCUCAAAGUCUCCAGCACCUCCCGUAGGUGCUCCUCGUGCUCCUCCUGCGUCUUGGAAUAAACCAAGAUAUCAUCAAUAAACACUAUCACAGACCGGUCUAACAUCGGUCUACACACGCGGUUCAUGAGGUCCAUGAAUGCGGCAGGAGCAUUGGUGAGCCCGAAGGGCAUCACCACAAACUCGUAGUGGCCAUAGCGCGUCCGAAACGCAGUCUUCUGCACAUCCUCCUCUCUGACCCUCAUCUGAUGAUAUCCUGAACGCAGAUCAAUCUUGUAGAACCAAGAUGCUCCCUGUAGCUGGUCAAAGAGGUCAUCAAUCCUCGGGAGUGGGUAACGGUUCUUCACCAUUACCAUAUUCAGCUCCCUAUAGUCUAUACACAUACGAUGCGACCCGUCCUUCUUCUUCACAAACAGAUCGGGGCUCCCCAAGGCGAACUACUUGGCCUAAUAAAUCCCUUUUCUAGCAGCUCCUGCAGUUGCGUAGACAACUCCUGCAUCUCGGGAGGAGCCAAACGAUAGGGUGCCUUGGCUAUCGGAGCUGCACCAGGAACUAGGUCGAUCCUGAACUCCACCUGGCGCUCCGGAGGUAUCCCAGGUAGCUCCUCGGGGAAUACGUCUGCGAACUCUCGUACUACGGGCACCUCGCCCACCGUCGCCCUACCUACCUCCCGGCUAUCCAUAACAUACGCGACAUAACCUGCACAACCCUGCUGGAGGUAACACCUAGCUCUCGCUGCUGAACAUAAGGUUGGUCCUUGUUGUGGCCUCUCGCCCUGAAUCACCAGCUCUCCCCCACUUGGGGUCAUGAUCUGCACCAACUGCUGUGCACAGUCAAUCACUGCCCCAUUGGGGCUUAACCAAACUAUACCGAUGAUAACCUUGUUCCCCCGCAAAGGAGUAGGAACCAGGUCCACCAGAUAACGCUCCUCGAAUAAUCUCAGCACACAAUCUCGGAACAUCGUCGAUGCUCACACCGAACGGUCAUCUGCAAUCUCUACAUCUAGAGGGCAAUCCAACAUGCCUGAAGACUCGGAAAAUCUCUUGCUGAGCGCAAGAGAAACAAACGAUUGGGUAGCACCCGAAUCAAACAAUACCUAAACUGGGAUACCGUUCACAUGGAACGAUCCUAAACAGAGCACAUACAAAACAUAUCAAAAUCAUAGCAACAUAUCAUAACAUAAUAAAAUAAAAGUCAUACACGUCACCACAUCGUGUGCAGUGCGUGCCUCCUGGGUAGUCAACUGGAAUGCUCGGCUCCUCGCCACUGGAGCCUCUGCCUUGCCUUGCCGGCUAUCAGUGAUCCGCACGGUUGCUGGAGCUAGCGCCUUCACUAGCGCUGCUGCUAUCACUGGGGGCAGUUAGCCUUCUUGUGGCCCCUCUGGUUGCAAUGGAAACAUAGCAACUCAGGCAUCUGUAUCACAGGUGCAGGGGCGGUAUAAUCCUUGCUGAAGUGCCUUGACUUGCCGCACUUAUAGCAGCCUGACGAUCCCAACUUGCACGCUCCCUUGUGCGUCUUGCCACAUUUCCUGCAGCGGCCUCGCCCCUGUUGGCCUUUCUGCCCCGCAUCUGGUGCCUUGGGCUUCUUCCCCGAAGCCCCAAUCGACUGCCCCUCCUCUACUUUCCUCUUCCGGACAUGCUCCAGAUCGAUCUCCCUCUCUCUCUCUCUCUCCCUGGCAAUCACGGACUCCAAGGUAGGGCAAGCUGAAAAACUAACAUGCUCCUGAUUGUCGGCUCGCAGCAUGUCAUGAUAGCGGGUCCUCCUUAUAUCCUCAUAUCCCGCAUACUGGGGCACCAGCAAUACCCUCUCUCGGAACUUGGCGGUGAUCUCCGCCAAAGUCUCCAUAGUCUGUCUCAUGUCCAAAAACUCUCUGGCCAGCUGAAGCUCUACUGCUGGCGCAAACUCUGCUCGGAACCGGGUCACAAAAUCUGACCAUGACAUAGCCUCAAUAGCCGAGGCUCCCAAUGAGUCACCGACAGACUCCCACCAGUCUGUAGCUCUGUCUCUCAAACACCCUGCUGCAUAUCUCACCUUUGACCCCUCGGGGCAGAAGCUGGUUAGCUGUGCGAACUCAAUGUCCGCAAUCCAUCGUCUGGCAGCAAUUCGUUCAAUUGCCCCAUGGAAAUCCGGCGCACCACUGCUCCUGAUGUCCUUAAAGGACAGUGUGUGAGAUCCUGACUGGCUAGAUGCCAUGUCACUGCUGAACGCCUUGAGCCGGUCCUCCAUCAACUCAACUAUCCUUUCCUUGAUCGACCCGAAAAUGAUGGGGGUCGACUUAAGGAUAUCCUCUGGUGAUCUCCGACGCGAUGAACUCGUGUUGCCUCUCAUCUACUAGCUCGGAUCCUGAUCCCGAACCCGAUCCCUCUCCAUAAAUGCCAACUGCUGGCCUCUGACGUAGUACCACCAUUCUGCAAUACAUACAGGCAACCAGUAGUGAUACUGAUACUUCUAAAGGGAUCACAUCUAUUACAAGUUCCCUGGUCUUGCCUCAGUCCUCCUUAAUUCGGGUACGGAUCCUCUGCUUUCAGUAGUACGGGCCCAUACUACCUUCCACAUCAAUCAGUACCUUCUUUAAGGACAACUUUGACUCCACCAGAUCCCUUCACAACUGCUAAUCCUCUGCUAUUCCCAUUCUAGGCUUGCCCUAGGGAAAAUCUCUGACUCCACCCAAACCGGUCCUUAGCUGUUGAAGGCCUCCUUGUAAUGCCAAUUAGCCAUUACCUGAAUACCAUCACAUGUGAUGAGGCUCAGAUAAUUCUUCGAGUAACAUACUCGUCCCUACAAUGGUUAAACUCAAACAAGAGCUGCGCAAUAGGGCCAAAUCCAACACUCUAAGAUUAUUCAACCCUGAUCACAUGUAUUGUGAAGUAUUCACCUAAUGACUAACUCCCAUCAAUCAGAGUCCCACAAAGCACAAAGCAAGCAGCAUUUGGACGCAGGAAAACUACUCAAGCAAGUCUGUCCUCAUAAUGAGAAGCUGAACUAGCACAUAAUGCUAAGCUCAUACUACCAGACAUAACCUAAAUAGGCUAUCCUACUACUGUCUACUCAAUACCAGCAUGCAAUUCUCAUAAGCUGAAGCACAUAAAGCAGGCACAUAAGGCAUCAUUCCUAGAUGCUUAUUCCUAUUCUAGCAUGCUAUUCUACUGAAUCUGAUAAACAUAGUAUAACAUUGUAUGGGUACUUUGGGGAAUAAUUACUUGAGCUUGGCCGGUCGCGCACAUCACAGACUUUGUUCCUUCUUAAAACUCUUUACUUAAGCUUUUAGAAAAAUUUUUCCUUUUCGAAAUCCUUUAAUCCCUUGAUUUGAGUCCAAACACCCCCGAAGGUGUGUCCGAACCCCUCAAACCAGGGCUCUGAUACCAACUUGUAACGUCCCAAAAUACGGGCCACAAAUUUCAUUUUUAAUUAAGUGAUUUGCAAAGCGUUUGUAACAAAAUAUCAUACGAUUAUAUCAUUUAAUAAAACAUGUCCCGUGACUGCAAACCAAAACGUAAAACAUAAUAAUGUCAGAGUACAAAUCCCAAAAUAUCUCAUAGUGCGGAAAACAAAGAGCAUGUGUGUGAUGCGCCGUUACCGCACCAGCUCCUUCCCCUUGAUUGAAGAGGUACCUGAAACAACAACUGAAAACCGUAAGCACGAAGCUUAGUGAGUUCCCCCACUGUACCACAUACCAUACAUAUAUUGUCAGGCAUAUCUGGGUGCCCGAACUACCCCUUCGGUCCUCUCGACCGGACGCUGACUAGCAUAUGUGGGUGCUGGCCUCCCAUUCGGUCCUCUCGACCGGAUACUGACUAGCAUAUCUAGGUGCUGGUCUCCCCUUCCGUCCUCUCGACCGGAUACUGACUAGCAUAUCUGGGUGCUGGUCUCCCCCUUCGGUCCUCUCGACCGGAUGCUGGGGACUAUUUCACCCCUACUACCACCACAUAACACAUAUCACAUAAUCUAUCUAGCAUGGCUGGGCAUGACUGCCCCUUCCGGCCUAUCGACCGGUAAUCUGGGGAUUAUCUCCACUACUGUCACUAGCACAUAACAUCAUAUCAUACUGGCACAUAAACAUAUUGCAGGUAGUAGCAACCCUAGAUGAAUAUCACAGAGAUAAUCAUCUAAUCAUACAACUCCUACUGGUGGACCGACAUUGUGGCCGUAGACCCACCGCUACUGGAAGGUAACUCACCUCGUAGUAGCUGCUGAACUGUGUGGGAAUCCUCUGACUGCUGCUGCUCCGGAAAUCCUCAAACUAAAAUUCCCACAAAACACUUAGUCAGAAACUGACAUAUACUCUUAGGGUAAAAUGACCAUUUUACCCCUAACCAAGUCAAAGUCAAAGUCAACUUCUAGUUGAACUAACUCGCCGAGUUGGCUCGCCAACUCGCCGAGUCCCUAUCCUUCCAUUAGACCUCAUACCCGUUUCUACUCGUCGAGUUAGGCGAUGACUCGACGAGUUUUCCUUCUAAAUGACAUUGACUGAAUCCUCAUCCGACUCGCCAAGUUGUAUGAGCAACUCAUCGAGUUUAUCAUCAACUGAUACACAGAUCCUGUCCUUGACUCGCCGAGUUAUAUGAACAACUCGUCGAGUUCAUCUUCAUCCUUAAGAAGAUUGCCUUGGACUCGCCGAGUUUGUUCAUGCACUCGCCGAGUCCCAUGAAUUUCCAGAACAAUGGCUUAGUCCAGAACGUUGGGUCACACCUUGGGACCCCCUUAAAACCUUUCCACACUCAACUGGGUCCUUAUGACCCUCAACUGAUAUGGGACAGAAUCUUGGACUCGCCGAGUCCAAGAACGGUCUC
rnacentral:lncRNA from 1 species